CUGAUCUGACUCGUGCAAGCAAUAAAUUAUGAUCCUUAUUAACAACUGCUGAUAAUAUAAUAAGCAAUCUAAUCCUUUGUAGGGAAGACUGGGGAGGAUUCAACAUCUAACUCUAAUUUUUGAAGAUGAAGUUCUUUAAGUGUUACCUUACAUAACACAUUUGUCUAGCACAAAUACUGAUUGAACUGAUUGUACUGAUUGAAAACCCUGUCAGUUUUUGAGUUAGAGUCAAAAGACAUAAAUGUUCUUUUUUAGAACCUAAUCCAACACUGGCAUGAGUUGUAACAAUAAGACAAAUAAAAAUAAAAGUAGAGCCCAUACUGUAGAUUCCAUUUCACGUCUUUUCAGAAACAGAACAACCCAUAACCAUGCUUCCCUGUCUCUGCUGAAGAUAAACAUCCACCCCAUGAUGCAGCCACUACCAUGCUUCACCAUGAUUCAUGUGCAGUGUUAUCUUUCUGCUCAUAGGACAGAUUUAUAGAGUUGCAGACUUACCGUUAAUGCUCUGCUGCACACCCUGCCAACUCAGGUGGACCGCCAGAUACUGAGGCAAAGAAGAACAUGCUAAAACCACAGCGCCAUAUAGUGCCCUGGCAUGACAACUACAGUGGAUUCAAGCGGGAGCCACAGGCCAUGUUGAUGAACCUGGGCUGGAAGGAAUCUGCAGCCUCCUCCACUUGACUGAGCAGAGCUAAUGAGUUGGAAAAUCCCACAAUCGGGGUUUCAGGGUUCGCCAUUGGAAUCAGGUGAAACAGGUACUUCAGGCGUCCACUGGAGCAAGGGUGAGAAGUGUUUCAUUGAGAGGAUUUUGCAAACUGUCAAACACUUUGAGAGUUGAAGCACUUCGAGGAGUUUAAAGAGGAAAAGGCGUAGGAGGUGGAGAAUGCGAUUGGCUGAAGGGAUUUGCUCCUUUGAUCUGUAAACCAUGACUGUGCAAAGGGCUUCAGCUCUCAGCCAGGUGGACUCUGUUUAUCAACCAGUUGUCAAUCCCCCAUUACGAUGCCCCCAAGGUGUGAAAUGUCUCACCAGAUCCUUUUCUACAUGCCUAAUCACACAUCACACCUUCAGCCAGACAACACUGGCACAAUUACAGACACAGAAACCAAAGUUUAUGACCAUGGCAGAAAGAAAAGGAUAACUGAGUUGAGGUUGAGACAGUAUUUCUGACAUUUUGGGAACCUGUGGCUGGAUACCAUAAUGCUCCAGUUGUCAACAAACGUUUAUUUCUCAACAUGGUUUCAAAUUCUAGGCAGACUCUUAAUGUGUAGCCUUUGUGUGUUCUCCAUUUGGAUGAGUGGCUUUUCUCUGGGUACUCUUGCUUCCUUGCAGUCCUAUUUUCUCAUUUCUCUCUGUGUUCCCUUUUGAUGUCAUGUUAAUCUGGCCAAGAUUUACCUUGCUCAUUGACGGCUGACGAUG